AUUGAACGCUGGCGGCAGGCCUAACACAUGCAAGUCGAACGAGUGGCGGACGGGUGAGUCAUGUCUGGGAAACUGCCUGAUGGCGGGGGAUAACUACUGGAAACGGUAGCUAAUACCGCAUACCCUCAGAUGUGCCCAGAUGGGAUUAGCUUGUUGGUGGGGUAACGGCUCACAAAGGCGACGAUCCCUAGCUGGUCUGAGAGGAUGACACGCCACACUGGAACUGAGACACGUGCCAGACUACUACGGUAGGCAGCAGUGGGGAAUAUGGCACAAUGGGCGAAAGCCUGAUGCAGCCAUGCCGCGUGUAUGAAGAAGGCCUUCGGGUUGUAAAGUACUUUCAGCGGGGAGGCGUUACCCGCAGAAGAAGCACCGGCUAACUCCGUGCCAGCAGCCGCGGUAAUAC
rnacentral:rRNA from 1 species